rfam:Sarcophilus harrisii ctg7180002412477, whole genome shotgun sequence.
UCCCUGGUGGUCUAGUGGUUAGGAUUUGGCGCUCUCACUGCUGUGGCCCAGGUUCGAUUCCUGGUCAGGUAA